GGCCUUGUGUGGAUAGACAAGGAGCUCUUGGACAAGCUCAGACACCAAAAGGAGGCCUAUGGAGCGUGAGAGCCUGGAGCUGAAACCUGGCAGGAAUACAGAGAGGAUGUCCCAUCAGCCAGGGAUCACGUUAGAGGAGGAUGUGCUCCAGCCACACUGCCCGAGCUGCAGAAGGGAAAGGCGGGGACUGGAGGACUGAAGAGUCACCUGCUGGAGAAGAUCGGAUUCAAAGCUAUCUGAAGCACCUGAAGGUGCACAAGCCCAUGGGACCUGAUGAGAUGUAUCCACACAUCCUAAAGGAACUGGUGUCUGGAACUGGUGACACAGGCCUUCCUGUAUUUUAGGUGUGUUUCCUUGGAGAGAAGCAAGAGGUUUGGACACAUUCCCUAUUUUUACCAGCUAUUUUUCCAUGCAAUCCUUCAAAACCCGACAGGGCUACUGCCAAAGCUGAACCCUGUGGGGUGUAAGGAAUGUCCCCUGCCUGGGGGACACAUCCACCCACACCAGUGCUCAUGGCAUUGCUGGGCUCCCCCAGCCCCACUGCAAGCUCCCCAUGGCAAAGCUGCAGGCAGCAGGCAUCGUGCUUCACCCUGCACAGCCCUUGCUAUCAGUCAGGGGCUAUGGGAUGCAGAAUUUGAAUCUGAACCCACUCUUUUUUAUGCCACCACAUCCAGUUUCUGACACAGGCAGCAUUGCAUGAAGAGAUGGGCAAGAAAAAGAUAAAAGCAGUGUUCAUUGCCCUGUGAUCCCAGCUUCCAGGAGCACUUGUAACACACACAGUGCCACUGCUUUCUUUGUUCCCUGUAAGGAGGCUCAGUUUGGGCCAAGGCCCAAGCUCAGCCCCUGCACUGAUCAGAUUUGGCUGCCAGCCUGGUGAGUGCCUAUCCUGUGGUCACAUCAACCCUCCUGCCUGCCAGCAGCUCCUUGCAGUUGCCAGGAGCCAGCGUGAAAGGGACCAGGAGGGGGAAAAGGGAAGCACAGAGGUGGUUGGAGGAGCUGUGUCCAUCAUCCAUGGCAGAGGCCUUGCUGUAACCUCAUGGUGCCUGUGAUGGGGUUUCCUGGCUCUGACUGGGCUCCCAUCAGUCAGCCACACACUGAUCCCAAUCCUACACCAGGAUUCCAGUCAUGAGCUCCUACCAGGCAUGGCUCAGGAGAACUUUAGUUCCAGGCAGCUUUAGGUCUAGCGAAGGAGACCUUUUGAUUUACCAGACACCCAGGCUCCUGGGCUCAGCUGUCAGCAGAGUAGGCAAGCAGCUUGAGAUGUGGGAAAGGCAGUUUUGUAGCACAAACCCCAAAUCCUGCAACAGGACAAUUCCUCAAAAAAGCAGGAACUCUUCACUUCUUAUCUUCAAGGCUGGAGAGCAGCAUGGGAAAAGCAAAGCUGUUCUGGUUAUACCAAUAGACUGGAAACAUGCCCUAGCACAAUGCUCCCUUUUUCCUAUGUGCUGCUGCUCUGUCCUCUAUCUUUAGCCCUUCCAGCUGCAUCCCUGCAUGCAUGCUCGUACAAAAAUGCCCAAGCAGAGUAAAAACCAGUAGCCCUUAGCCUCUGGUGGCUAUAAUUCAGCAAUGGCCUGAGGAACCUGGCCCCAGCUGCUGCAGGACCCCCCCAGGAGGAAGCACAUUCACAGCACAUCAGCUGUAGUGCACUUUGCUAAAUCUGAGUGACUUUCUGCAUGUCCAAGUGAGGAACAGUCCACAGGAGACAGGAUGGAAAUUGCCCUUGGGGAUUUCACAAGGAUGCUGUGAAACACACACAGCUUCUCAAGCUUUUCUGAGAACUCAGCUGCUCAGCAGUGAAGCUUGUGCCACCACCUCUUCCCCCACAGGGUGAGGUGACACUCAGGACAAGGAACAGCCAUGAUGGGGCUGGCAGAAGCAGUGAGCUUGAGGCCCACAAGCACAAAAAUAAACCUGCUGAAAAAAAAAAAAAAAAAAGAAAAACAUCAGUUUUGCAAGUGGAACAGCAGGAAAUGGAGGGAAGAAACCACACAAGGUGGAAUUUGGAAAGACUUAGCGCAAAUCUAAAUGUCUCUACAUUUUGCCCAAAGGUCAAAAGGGUAUUGAUGCCAACCCAAACUGAGUGGAGCUCCAGCAACCUCUGUUCAUACAUUCAGAGACGCUCGGCUUCUGUGUUUGGCACAACCAUUUAAUAGCAGAAUUGAAAACUCAGUAUGUUCCAUUUUAGUCUUAUGUGGAAAAUCAGUGCAGGUGAUAAUCUAAUUGUACAACAACAUGUUAAAAAAAUUUAUUUUACAUUAUAUACAUUAGGGAACAUAUUUCAAAGCAUUACCCAUCACAACAAUAACGCAGGCCAUAAAUCACUUUUAAUUUAGUUUGGUUUUAGUGUAUAUUAUCACAAUAAAAUAUAAAGAACAUAUACAAAAAAAGGAGUCAAAUGUGUGCAUUUUGCUUAAAACUUGGCAUUUACACACUCCAUUGGAAAAUAGCAAUCAAAAAUACUUCUGAUCAAAACUAAGUUCCCGUGAUGUGUAGUAACCAUUGUAUUGUUUCAAUGAGGUAGUAACUAAAUUUUGGCCAUGUGUUAACAUCCUAAAAUCAAGAAAAGUGUGAAAAUGGUUAUAAGGCCAAAAAAAAAAAAGUCAAAA